UACAGAGGUCUCAAGCGUUGUUCGGAUUCAUUGGGCGUAAAGGGUGCGUAGGCGGCGCGGUAAGUCGGGUGUGAAAUCUCGGAGCUUAACUCCGAAACUGCAUUCGAUACUGCCGUGCUUGGGGACUGGAGAGGAGACUGGAAUUUACGGUGUAGCGGUGAAAUGCGUAGAUAUCAGGAGGAACACCGGUGGCGAAGGCGGGUCUCUGGGCAGUAACUGACGCUGAGGAGCGAAAGCGUGGGGAGCGAACAGG
rnacentral:rRNA from 1 species